rnacentral:lncRNA from 1 species
CAGUAUGCCUUCCCAACAAAAAGGUCAAAAUAAAUAAAUAAAUAAAUAAAUAAACACAGUUAAAUCUUUCCAUAAAUUUAAAUUCUCGCUCCAGCCAAUUUCUCCUUGUGCACGUAUGAAUUCUGCAAGCAUACAGUUAAGGGUGUAAAUUGAUUGGGCCGUUUGGGUCAUGAGUGGCUCCGAUCUAAUCCAGUUCCAUGAUC